AUACGGAGGAUCCAAGCGUUAUCCGGAAUCAUUGGGUUUAAAGGGUCCGUAGGCGGGACAAUAAGUCAGCGGUGAAAGUCUGUGGCUCAACCAUAGAAUUGCCAUUGAUACUGUUGUUCUUGAGUGUUUAUGAAGUGGUUGGAAUAUGUAGUGUAGCGGUGAAAUGCAUAGAUAUUACAUAGAACACCGAUUGCGAAGGCAGAUCACUAAUAAAAUACUGACGCUGAUGGACGAAAGCGUAGGUAGCGAACAGGAUUAGAUACCCUGGUAGUCAAGGGCG
rnacentral:rRNA from 1 species